GCCAGCGGAGAAGCUGGUGGAGAGGGCCAGAGCAGAGAGCCGCAGAAGUGUGACAAUCAGCCAUUGGGGCGAAAAGCGAGUGUCCGAGCAGUGCGGUGUGUAAGGUGCCUCCUCCCCCGCACCCUCCGCCUUCCGCACAGGGUGGGAGGUGAACUCUGCAGAUGAACCUCUGAACUCUUGGGCUGCACUGGCCAAGGACAACAACUGAACCCCUAGAUACUGAACCUGGCCCUUGUUGCUGCUGGCUCCACUUGGCAGAAGGGUUACAUCUAUGUCUGGAACAGUCUCCCAAUUAAGGUCAAAACUUGAAACAGAAGCUGGACCCAGGGCAAGGCAUUUGUGGUGAUGUGCAAGUGGGACGCCAGCAACCACUUCCUCCUCAGGGACAGCUUCACCUGAUUUGCCGACUGGAGGUUCAUCCACAGGGCCUGGCUCAACUGUGUUCCACUGAAUGGAGCCGUCCGCCAUGGGAAUCGGGACAAGCAAUGCAGGAAGUGCGGCUAUGCCAACGAGACGCUAGCCCAUGUCCUGUGUAGCUGCAAGCCUCAUUCAAGAGCUUGGCAGUUGUGACACAACACUAUCCAAGAUCUCCUGGCCAGAACCAUCCUGCCACCCAUGGGGAAGGUUGCCGUAAAUUCCGCCAUCCCCGGAACUGACAGCCAACUGCAACCGGACAUCCUCAUCACCAAUGAGGACCAGAAGAAGAUCAUCAUAGUGGACGUCACAGUGCGAUUCAAGAAUAGGACCGCGGCCUUCCAAGAUGCCCGAGCUUGAAAGGUAGAGAAAUAUGCCCCUCUGGCUGAAACCUUGAUAGCUAAGGGUUACCAGGUCCAGACACACGCACUGAUCAUCAGUGCCUUAGGUGCAUGGGACCCCAGUAACGAGCGAGUGCUGAGAGAAUGCGGAAUCAAUCAAUGCUAUGCUCAGCUGAUGCAGCAACUCAGGGUGUUGGACGCCAUCAGGUGGUCGAGGGACAUCUACAUAGAACACAUCACUGGACAUGGGCAGUAUCAGGAGGGAUGAGCUGGAGUGCCAAUAAGAAAUGCAGUCAGGAAAGUAACACAUACUUUCCUCAUGGAUUGUAUUUUCUAAAUGGACAACCAACCUAAUUCUCAAUUACUGAGGGACAAUCUCUACUCAUUGAUAUAUUUUGCUUUCCACAACCAAAUCUCUGUACAACUUUCAUGAGUGAUGUACCCGAGUAUUUGGAUUCUAAUAUCUAAACUGUAUUCACAAUAAUAUUUUAAAUCUAUUCACCUAAAUUUGGGUUAUUGCUGAUUAUGUCCUCUAUGUAUCAAAUGACUUUUUUUAAAAAAAACUUUGUAUUUGUGGAUAAUCUAAGCACUAUACCCAGAUGUACAGACACUCUUUUCUAAACCUAUGUAUUAUAUAAUUUUUUUAACAUUAGCUUUGAUAAAACUUUUAACUUUGAUUCACCCCUUACAGGCCAGACUAUGGGGUUGUUAACUGAAGAGUGCUCUUAUGUGUUGUGCUCUAAUGGUCCCAUAUAGACCUUACUGGUGCAAACUAAAAGAUACCUGCUUCAAAAUGAUGUAGUCCUGGGACUAUGUUAAUGCCACAUUGGUGCCUUUUAGUUCAUGCAGCAAGGGUCUAUAUGGGACAAUUAGAGUGCAACACAUUAGAGUGCUCUACCUACAAUGCAUAAAUUACCCAUAUUCUGGACUGUGGCUUUGAGGAGACAAACCCUUAGACUUGUUUAACAAGACCCAUAUUUAACUUACAUCCCUAAGGGUAUGUCUACACUACAAAAUUAGGUCGAAUUUAUAGAAGUUGUUUUUUUAGAAAUUGUUUUUAUAUAGUCGAUUGUGUGUGUCACCACAAAAAAUGCUCUAAGUGUAUUAAGUGCAUUAACUCGGUGGAGUGCUUCCACAGUACUGAGGCUAGCUUCAACUUCCAGAGCGUUGCACUGUGGGUACCUAUCCCACUAUUCCCGCAGUCUACGCCGCCCAUUGGAAUUCUGGGUUGAGAUCCCAAUGCCUGAUAGGGCUAAAACAUUGUCGCCGGUGGUUCUGGGUACAUGACGUCAGGCCUUCUCUCCCUCCCUGCCUCCCUCCAUGAAAGCAAUGGCAGACAAUCAUUUCGCGUCUUUUUUCCUGAGUUACCUGUGCAGAUGCCAUACCACGGCAAGCAUGGAGCCCGCUAGGCUCAUUGUCACCCUACAUCUCCUGGGUGCUGGCAGAUGCAGUACUGCAUUGCUACACAGCAGCAGCUCAUUGCCCUGUGGCAGCAGAUGGUGCAAUAGGCCUGAUAACCAUCAUCAUCAUGUCCGAGGUGCUCCUGGCCACCUCGAGAAGGUCGGUCAGGAGUGCAUGGGCAGACAUGGGCGCAGGGACUGAAAUAGGAGUGACUCGACCAGGUCAUUCUCUUUAGUCCUGCCAGCAGUCCUAUUGCACCGUCUUCUGCCGAGCAGCCAGGAGAUGAGGAUGGCUAGCAGUCCUACUGCACCGUCUGCUGCCAGCCAAAGAUGUAAAAGAUAGCUGGAGUGGAUCAAAACAAGAAAUAGACUAGAUUUGUUUGGUAUUCAUUUGCUCUCCCUCCCCCUCUGAAAUCAACGGCGGACAAUCGUUUCAGUGAGGUCUGUCAGGGGCACCUUGAAAAGUUUAAUGGAGAUUCAGUCCUACCUGGAAUACCGGGGGGAAGGAUAGCUCAAUGGGUUGAGCAUUGGCCUGCUAAACCCAGGGUUUUGAGUUCAAUCCUUGAGGGGGCCAUUCUGUGUGACAGUUGUUUUUGUUUCUCCUUGAUGUAAAGCCACCCCCCUUGUUGAUUUUAAUUCCCUGUAAGCCAACACUGUAAGCCAUGUCAUCAGUCGCCCCUCCCUCCAUCAGAGCAACGGCAGACAAUCGUUCCACAUCUUUUUUCUGUGCAGUCGCAAUACCACGGCAAGCAUGGAGCCCACUCAGAUCACUUUGGCAAUUAGGAGCAAAUUAAACACCAUGUGCAUUAUCCUGCAGUAUAUGCAGCACCAGAAUCUGGCAAAGUGAAACCGGGCGAGUAGGCAACGUCAACGCGGUGACGAGAGUGAUGAGGACAUGGACACAGACUUCUCUCAAAGCAUGGGCCCUGGCAAUGUGGGCAUCAUGGUGCUAAUGGGGCAGGUUCAUGCGGUGGAAUGCCGAUUCUGGGCUCGGGAAACAAGCACAGACUAGUGGGACCGCAUAGUGUUGCAGGUCUGGGACGAUUCCCAGUGGCUGCGAAACUUUCGCAUGCGUAAGGACACUUUCAUGGAACUUUGUGACUUGCUUUCCCCUGCCCUGAGGUGCAAGAAUACCAAGAUGAGAGCAGCCCCCACAGUUGAGAAGCGAGUGGCAAUAGCCCUGUGGAAGCUUGCAACACCAGACAGCUACCGGUCAGUCGGGAAUCAAAUUGGAGUGGGCAAAUCUACUGUGGGGGCUGCUGUGAUGCAAGUAGCCAACACAAUCAAAGAUCUGCUGAUGUCAAGGGUAGUGACCCUGGGAAAUGUGCAGGUCAUAGUGGAGGGCUUUGCUGCAAUGGGAUUCCCUAACUGUGGUGGGGCUAUAGACGGAACGCAUAUCCCUAUCUUGGGACUGGACCACCAGGGCAGCCAGUACAUAAACCGCAAGGAGUACUUUUCAAUGGUGCUGCAAGCACUGGUGGGUCACAAGGGACAUUUCACCAACAUCAACGGGGGAUGGUACCGGGAAAGGUACAUGACGCUCGCAUCUUCAGGAACUCUGGUCUGUUUCAAAAGCUGCAGGAAGGGACUUUAUUCCCAGACCAGAAAAUAACCGUUGGGGAUGUUGAAAUGCCUAUAGUUAUCCUUGGGGACCCAGCCUAGCCCUUAAUGAAGCCAUACACAGGCAGCCUGGACAGUGGUCAGGAGCUGUUCAACUACAGGCUGAGCAAGUGCAGAAUGGUGGUAGUACGUGCAUUUGGAUGUUUAAAAGCGUGCUGGCGCAGUUUACUGACUCGGUUAGACCUCAGCAAAACCAAUAUUCCCACUGUUAUUACUGCUUGCUGUGCACUCCACAAUAUCUGUGAGAGUAAGGGGGAGAUGUUUAUGGCAGGGUGGGAGGUUGAGGCAAAUGGCCUGGCUGCUGGUUACGCGCAGCCAGACACCAGGGUGGUUAGAAGAGCACAGGAGGGCACGGUGUGCAUCAGAGAAGCUUUGAAAACCAGUUUCAUGACUGGCCAUGCUAUGGUCUGAAAGUUCUGUUUGUUUCUCCUUGAUGACCCCCCCCCCUUGGUUCUCUGUACUUCCCUGUAAGCUAACCACCCUCUCCUCCCCCCUUCGAUCACUGCUUGCAGAGGCAAUAAAGUCAUUGUUGCUUCA